rnacentral:tRNA from 1 species
GGGCAUAUAGCUUAAUUGGUAUAGCAUCUGUUUUGCAUACAGAAGAUUAUAGGUUCAAGUCCUAUUAUGUCCA